rnacentral:rRNA from 1 species
AGUGAACGCUGGCGGUAGGCCUAACACAUGCAAGUCGAACGGCAGCACAGUAAGAGCUUGCUCUUACGGGUGGCGAGUGGCGGACGGGUGAGGAAUACAUCGGAAUCUACUUUUUCGUGGGGGAUAACGUAGGGAAACUUACGCUAAUACCGCAUACGACCUACGGGUGAAAGCAGGGGAUCUUCGGACCUUGCGCGAUUGAAUGAGCCGAUGUCGGAUUAGCUAGUUGGCGGGGUAAAGGCCCACCAAGGCGACGAUCCGUAGCUGGUCUGAGAGGAUGAUCAGCCACACUGGAACUGAGACACGGUCCAGACUCCUACGGGAGGCAGCAGUGGGGAAUAUUGGACAAAGGGCGCAAGCCUGAUCCAGCCAUACCGCGUGGGUGAAGAAGGCCUUCGGGUUGUGAAGCCCUUUUGUUGGGAAAGAAAAGCAGCAGGUUAAUACCCCGCUGUUCUGUCGGUACCCAAAGAAUAAGCACCGGCUAACUUCGCG